UAAUAAUUUUCUUCUUUUUCGAAAAGUCAUCAAUCAAAUAUCACGGCCUGACUAGAAGAAAAAUGAGAAUAUACGAAUACCAAAUCAACAUUUUGAAACCUAUUUAAACCCAUUGUAAGAUGAACUCCGAGCACGAAUCAAACAACCAAGCUCAGAAUAAAAACCCUUAAUUACUUCAAGAGUACGCUUCAAUAUUCACACAAAAGCAAGAUGUCUUGCAGAGGUAAAAGUUCAUGGCCCGAGUUGGUACGCAGCUCCGGUGUGUCUGCUGCAGCGACAAUAGAAAGUGAAAAUCCAAACGUUAAUGCAGUUCUGGUGCCGGAAGGAUCAUUGGUAACCAUGGAUUUCAGGUGCGAUAGGGUUAGGGUCUGGAUCAAUUCAGCUGGAAGAGUUUACCAGACACCAAGAAUUGGGUAAUGAAACUUCAUAUUUUACAUGAUAAUAAAAUGUUGAUCACGACCUUCCUGUCCAGGAUGUUUUAUAUCAUAUAGUUGGUGUAAUGAGUAUGUACGUACGUAGUACUUGCUGCCUUUCUUUUUUCUUCAUGGAAGAAAACAAGAGUACAUAUAGCAAUAUAGUUGUUGUAUUAAAUAAAUAAAUAAGGGUGAUCAAGUUUACGCUAUA